rnacentral:rRNA from 1 species
GUGGGGAAUAUUGGACAAUGGGCGCAAGCCUGAUCCAGCCAUGCCGCGUGUGUGAAGAAGGCCUUCGGGUUGUAAAGCACUUUUGUCCGGGAAGAAAUCUUCCAGGUUAAUACCCUGGGAGGCUGACGGUACCGGAAGAAUAAGCACCGGCUAACUUCGUGCCAGCAGCCGCGGUAAUACGAAGGGUGCAAGCGUUACUCGGAAUUACUGGGCGUAAAGCGUGCGUAGGUGGUUCGUUAAGUCUGCCGUGAAAGCCCCGGGCUCAACCUGGGAAUGGCGGUGGAUACUGGCGGGCUAGAGUGCGGUAGAGGGUGGUGGAAUGCCCGGUGUAGCAGUGAAAUGCGUAGAGAUCGGGAGGAACAUCUGUGGCGAAGGCGGCCACCUGGACCAGCACUGACACUGAGGCACGAAAGCGUGGGGAGCAAACAGGAUUAGAAACCCUAGUAGUAC